AUUCAUUGAUUAAAUUAUAAAUCGUGCAUUCUUAUAUCAGGAAAAAGUUAUUUCGCUGACCUCAGAAUGACAUUUCGUCAAAACGUUUUUCUUCACGAUUGGUUCAGAAACACACUUGGAGUAGGGUUAGGUACGAUCAGGGUUAGGGUUAGAUCAGAGUUGCUGUUUGAAAUACGGUUAGUGUUAAUAAGACCGUUGCUUUGUUACGAUUUGUCACUCCGAGGCCAGCGAAAUAACUUCUUCCUUUACUUAUUAAUGUAUAUGUUCCCCUGAAGACUAAGGACGAUGGGUGAUGGGUGAUGAGCCAAGUUCUAAUCAAUUCCAUAUUCCCAGCUUAUUCUUUAAUAAAAUUUUCUUCAAGACCACUUGGUUCUGUUGCGACUGUUUUGCUACGUCGUACCAUAGACUACUGUAUAUGCGUGCAUUUAAGCUCGAUUCAACUCGCAUCUCUCGCCUCUUAACUUUCAUCAAUCCUGCUUUUGUGAAGUUGAAAUGCUGGUGUGACCCAACGUCCACAAGAACACUGUUC